CUGAGGAUGAGUGACAACAGAGGGCAGGUGGAAAAUGGCAGUUGGGGGCUGAGGAGAUGAAGAUCAGUGGUAAAGAGAUGAAAUUGUGAUGUGAGAGGCUGCAGCACACCUACAUUCCUGGAUCUGACCAGCAGUUGAUGAACAGCUGUUAGGUUUCUGAGAUGCUAUCGCUUCUGGCAACCCAUUCCAAGCAAGCCAAAGAAGUACAGUUUGAAAUUAUGGUGGUGCUAUGAUGCAGAAACAUCAUACCACUGACCAGAGAUUUUGACCUUGGAAAACAAGCUGGAGGACUACAAAAAAGACAAGUAGGCCUGCAAGUUGUGCAGCAAUGUGUACAGCCAUGGAAUGACACUUGGGGCUGCUUGCUGAAGUGCAUGUAGUAAGGUGAUUCAGAUGAGAUCUCUCUCACAUGAUUAAAGGAUGUGCCAGAAGCACAUUGGCACAUCCAUCAGUGACAUCAGGGCAGGUUCAUUCUUGCCAUAGACCUCAUGUGUGCAAGGCAAUGCCCAUCUGAACCUGCCCUCAGAGAACUGUAGUGAGGGAUAACAUUUUUGCCCAGUAAUAUGACUGGCAGAUGCUCUCCUGAGCAAGGGGUUGACCUGGGUAGACACUAUGAAACACAAGAAGCAAGACAUUCCCCCAGAGAUGCAACCACAUUAACAAAGGGAAGCAUUAUCAACUGUGUUUGGCUUGGAUGGACAGAGAACAACUUGUUAUGGAGUGGCUAACAAAUAAAGUUUAUUAUUAAUUAUUA